GGAAAGACUGAAAAAUUAAUACUAGAGGUUAAAAACCGGAGUUUCAUAGUUGAUUAUAGGGGGAUAAGGCCAGUGUCACAACUAGGUGGUCGAUGGAGUUUAGGGUUUUUUGGUUAGUUGAUUACGUUGAUGAAUAUAGGAGAAACAAUAAAACAGGAAGAAGAUAUUUUGGGAUGGAGUGAGAAAAAUUAAUUCAGUUUUGGGUAAGUUGAGUUUGAGGUGGUGAGCUUUAAGUCUGCAAUUUUAGAUAGUAGUCUAGAAAAUCAAGCAUUAUUAAUGUCGCAGUUUAUGGUCAACCUUUGAAAGGCUCCUGCAGCAACAACACCUGUAACCUAUUUACCUGUAACCUAUUUACCUGGGCAGCAGGUAACUACAAAACAAAUUUAAGUUGAAAAAAAUAAAUAAAUGUUUUUUUUUUUUGUUUUUUUUUUGUUUUUUUUUUCCAUUUUUUAUUAGGUAUUUAACUCAUUUACAUUUCCAAUGCUAUACCAAAAGUCCUCCAUAUCCACCCACCCCCACUCCCCUGCCCACCCACUCCCCCUUUUUGGCCCUGGUGUUCCCCUGUACUGGGGCAUAUAAAGUUUGCAAGUCCAAUGGGCCUCUCUUUCCAGUGAUGGCCGACUAGGCCAUCUUUUGAUAUAUAUGCAGCUAGAGUCAAGAGCUCCGGGGUACUGGUUAGUUCAUAAUGUUGUUCCACCUAUAGGGUUGCAGAUCCCUUUAGCUCCUUGGCUACUUUCUCUAGCUCCUCCAUUGGGAGCAUAAAUAAAUGUUUUAUGCUGUCUUUAUGUCUCAAGUUCUUGGACUUAAAAGUACUAUUUUCUUAUUUUAUCAUUUUCGUUAGCUGGUACUAGAUUUAUUUUACUAAGCAUGAUCAUUUCCCACUCUUCUGUUAAGGGGUGUGUGUGUGUGUGUUUUAAGUGUUAUAAAGAGAAAUUGUAUAGCGGGCUGUAGAGAUGGUUCAGGGUUUAGGUUGUUACUGCUCUUCUAGAAUACCUCUGUUCCGUUCCAAGCACCCUCAUUAGGCAGCUCACAAGGUGCCUGUAACUCAAGCCCCAGAGGCUCUGACAUCAUCGUUUCAUACACAUGAAGGCAGGCAAAAUACAUACACACAUUUAAUAAAAAGAUCUUAAAAAUAUCUUGUGUUGAUUGGUUUCUAUAGUGAAGUGAACUGGGCCUUGUAUUUUACAUAGGGUUUUAACUACAUACUCAAUUUUAAAUAUGAGGUUAACCAGCCUAUUUAUCAUUGUAAGGUUUUGUAAUUUUUAUUUCUUUUGAGACAAAUUUUGCUAUGUCUCAAACUGGCCCGGAAGUUCUAAUCUUCCUAUCUUGACCUUCUGAGGGCUGAGAUUACAGGUAUUUGUACACUAUCCCUUGGUUGUGACUAAUCUUUUGAGGAAUUUGGCCAUUUCAUCUGAAUUGGUUAAUGUAAAGAUGUUUGAAAUUCUUCAUAAUUCUUUCUAAGUCUACACAGGCUCUGUUGUAAUUUUCAAGUUUUCAUUCCCAAUAUUGGUAUUGUACCCCUCCCCUUAUUCUUGCAGUAGCUUGUCAAUUUACUGAGCUUUUCUU
rnacentral:lncRNA from 1 species